rnacentral:rRNA from 1 species
CCUACGGGCGGCUGCAGUGGGGAAUAUUGCACAAUGGGCGCAAGCCUGAUGCAGCCAUGCCGCGUGUGUGAAGAAGGCCUUCGGGUUGUAAAGCACUUUCAGCGGGGAGGAAGGCGGUGAGGUUAAUAACCUCAUCGAUUGACGUUACCCGCAGAAGAAGCACCGGCUAACUCCGUGCCAGCAGCCGCGGUAACACGGAGGGUGCAAGCGUUAAUCGGAAUUACUGGGCGUAAAGCGCACGCAGGCGGUCUGUCAAGUCGGAUGUGAAAUCCCCGGGCUCAACCUGGGAACUGCAUUCGAAACUGGCAGGCUAGAGUCUUGUAGAGGGGGGGAGAAUUCCAGGUGUAGCGGUGAAAUGCGUAGAGAUCUGGAGGAAUACCGGGGGCGAAGGCGGCCCCCUGGACAAAGACUGACGCGCAGGUGCGAAAGCGUGGGGAGCAAACGGAUUAGAUACCCCGGUAGUC